rfam:Otolemur garnettii contig080558, whole genome shotgun sequence.
GUCUACGGCCAUACCACCCUGAACACGCCCAGUCUCAUCUGAUCUAGGACGCUAAGCAGGUUGGGCCUGCUUAGUACUUGGAUGGGAGACUCUGUCUCAAAAACAAACAAACAAAAAAA